CUCAUGGCCCUUAUAGGUGGGGCUACACACGUCAUACAAUGGCUGGUACAAAGGGUUGCCAACCCGCGAGGGGGAGCCAAUCCCAUAAAGCCAGUCGUAGUCCGGAUCGUAGUCUGCAACUCGACUACGUGAAGUCGGAAUCGCUAGUAAUCGUGGAUCAGAAUGUCACGGUGAAUACGUUCCCGGGUCUU
rnacentral:rRNA from 1 species